CCUACGGGAGGCAGCAGUGAGGAAUAUUGGUCAAUGGACGCAAGUCUGCACCAGCCAUGCCGCGUGCAGGAAGACGGCUCUAUGAGUUGUAAACUGCUUUUGUACGAGGGUAAAUACCGAUACGUGUAUCGGGUUGAAAGUAUCGUACGACUAAGGAUCGGCUAACUCCGUGCCAGCAGCCGCGGUAAUACGGAGGAUUCAAGCGUUCUCAGGAUUUAUUGGAUUUAAAGGGUGCGUAGGCGGAAGAUCAAGUCAGCGGUAAAAUUGAGAGGCUCAACCUCUUCGAGCCGUUGAAACUGGUUUGCAUGAGUGAGUGAGAAGUAUGCGGAAUGCGUGGUGUAGCGGUGAAAUGCAUAGAUAUCACGCAGAACUCCGAUUGCGAAGGCAGCAUACCGGCGCUCAACUGACGCUCAUGCACGAAAGUGUGGGUAUCGAACAGGAGUAGAUACCCUAGUAGUC
rnacentral:rRNA from 1 species